rnacentral:rRNA from 1 species
UACGGGGGAGCAAGCGUUGUUCGGAUUUACUGGGCGUAAAGGGCGCGUAGGCGGCCAGCACAAGUCAGUUGUGAAAUCUCCGAGCUUAACUCGGAAAGGUCAACUGAUACUGUGCGGCUAGAGUGCAGAAGGGGCAACUGGAAUUCUCGGUGUAGCGGUGAAAUGCGUAGAUAUCGAGAGGAACACCUGCGGCGAAGGCGGGUUGCUGGGCUGACACUGACGCUGAGGCGCGAAAGCUAGGGGAGCGAACGGGAUUAGAAACCCUGGUAGU